rnacentral:rRNA from 1 species
GACGAACGCUGGCGGCGUGCUUAACACAUGCAAGUCGAACGGACAGGCCCUGCUUUUGCGGGGUGCUCGAGUGGCGAACGGGUGAGUAACACGUGAGUAACCUGCCCUUGACUUUGGGAUAACUUCAGGAAACUGGGGCUAAUACCGGAUAGGAGCUCCUGCUGCACGGUGGGGGUUGGAAAGUUUCGGCGGUUGGGGAUGGACUCGCGGCUUAUCCGCUUGUUGGUGGGGUAGUGGCUUACCAAGGCUUUGACGGGUAGCCGGCCUGAGAGGGUGACCGGCCACAUUGGGACUGAGAUACGGCCCAGAAGCCUACGGGAGGCAGCAGUGGGGAAUAUUGCACAAUGGGCGGAAGCCUGAUGCAGCAACGCCGCGUGCGGGAUGACGGCCUUCGGGUUGUAAACCGCUUUCGCCUGUGACGAAGCGUGAGUGACGGUAAUGGGUAAAGAAGCACCGGCUAACUACGUG